AUGCAUGCAGGGAUUAGUUUUUCUUUUUUCAUUUUUUCAAUUCUUUUUUUUUUUUGCGUUUCUUUUGAAAAUAAACGUGCUAUGAUGCAAAUGAUGCAGACGACUGGCAGGCUGUGCAUCUCGGAACACAGGAUCGAAGCUUCGGCUUGAACUCUGAACCACAAUUCAUCUGAAACCCAAAGUCAACUGACAAACUGUCAUCUGAACCCAAUCUGAGGAACCAAGUCACCAACAGGACCACAAGUCACCAACUAGUCACCGACAAGUCACC
rnacentral:lncRNA from 1 species